rnacentral:tRNA from 2 species
GACGCGCUACAGCAAAUUCGACCAGUUGCGUCCCGCAGCAUCCGGGGCGGCGGAACCCCCGCUGUCGCGGCGCGAAUCCGCGGCGCGGGCC